rnacentral:rRNA from 1 species
GACGAACGCUGGCGGCGGGCUUAACACAUGCAAGUCGAACGGAAAGGCCCUGCUUGUGUGGGGUGCUCGAGGGGCGAACGGGUGAGUAACACGUGAGUAACCUGCCCUGGACGUGGGGAUAACUUCAGGAAACUGGGGCUAAUACCGGAGAGGAGCGCCUGCUGCAGGGGGGGGGUUGGAAAGUUUCGGCGGUUGGGGAUGGACGCGCGGCUUAUCAGCUUGUUGGGGGGGUAGUGGCUUACCAAGGCUUUGACGGGUAGCCGGCCUGAGAGGGUGACCGGCCACAUUGGGACUGAGAUACGGCCCAGACUCCUACGGGAGGCAGCACUGGGGAAUAUUGCACAAUGGGCGGAAGCCUGAUGCAGCAACGCCGCGUGCGGGAUGACGGCCUUCGGGUUGUAAACCGCUUUCGCCUGUGACGAAGCGUGAGUGACGGUAAUGGGUAAAGAAGCACCGGCUAACUACGUG